UCGCAAUUAAAUACUGCUUCUCCUUCCAAUAGGGUGCUUCCGCUUUAAUUACUAAUUAAAUUGCCUGCCUCAGCUGCGCAAAAGUGGAAUUGUGAUCGAGACACGAACGAGGAUGUGUUCAACCCUCAUUUACGUUUCCGUUUGUUUUUGUUGCCUUCAAAAGUGUGCUUUUGUAGCCUAUUAGCAAGUUUACCCAGGAUCGGAUCUCUCUUUGCUUCUGUUGGACUACACCUCUCCGUUGUUCUUCGUGGCCUUUCUCCGCUGGGGAUCUGUUGUCGGAUUGGAUUGGAUUGUCUGACUGACCACAACCUUUUUGUAUACGACUUGACGGACCAGAUGGGACUCAUUCCCUCCCAAACCAAAAGGAGAAACCAAUAUUUUAUCUGGAUGCAAGCGAGGGCACUCCGGAUAUGUGAGUGUGCAUUUAAAACUACACCGGUUGGGGCUUUACAAGUAGACACUGGGGAAAUGCCACUGUCCCUUAGAUGAGUUAAGCUAGCCCUGGCGUACUGGGCAAGACUGAAGGUUAGUACGGUAGCUCAUCCUACACUGACAGUAUUGGAAGACUGCUGGGAAUAUGAAAUGUCAAGAGAGGGGUUUAUAAAGAUGGACUCCGGGACCUUUUUAUAGGGCCAUCUGUGGAAAUAGGAAGUACCACAUGUCGAUUUUUAGCCUGAUGGAGGAAAAGAAAGUGGUGUGAAGAUCAUGUAGCAACAAUAGUGGAUCAAUAUAUUACUAAUAAGUUUUAUUCUUGUCUUGCAGUGCAUACAGAUGGUUCAAAGGAUCCCAUGAAUGGGAAGAUGGCAGCAGGUGCAUUUAUUCCUGAGUUCGAUGUUAAUCUAUGCAAGAGACUAACAAAUUAUUUAUCUGUCGAUUCAACAAAUGGUUGCAUUAGUUGUUUGAUUGCAAUGGAUAGAGGAGGUGCAACCAAGAAGAGUAGCAAUAUGUUCAGACUGCAUCAGUUUAGUUUAAGAUCUGGAAAGCAUUUCGCUAUACCUGCAAUAACAUGUGCUAAACGUGUAUGAGACAUAAUUAGAUUUUGUUUUGAAAGUCAGAACAUGAGGAUUUAUGGGUAGAAAUAAUGCUGCUGUUGGGCUUACAAAUAAAUGGUAUUGAAAUUAA